rnacentral:rRNA from 1 species
UAGGGAAUCUUCCACAAUGGACGCAAGUCUGAUGGAGCAACGCCGCGUGAGUGAAGAAGGUCUUCGGAUCGUAAAACUCUGUUGUUAGAGAAGAACACGAGUGAGAGUAACUGUUCAUUCGAUGACGGUAUCUAACCAGCAAGUCACGGCUAACUACGUGCCGA